rnacentral:rRNA from 1 species
AACGAACGCUGGCGGCAUGCCUAACACAUGCAAGUCGAACGAGACCUUCGGGUCUAGUGGCGCACGGGUGCGUAACGCGUGGGAACCUGCCCUUAGGUUCGGAAUAACUCCCCGAAAGGGGUGCUAAUACCGGAUAAUGUCUUCGGACCAAAGAUUUAUCGCCUUUGGAUGGGCCCGCGUUGGAUUAGCUAGUUGGUAGGGUAAAAGCCUACCAAGGCGACGAUCCAUAGCUGGUCUGAGAGGAUGAUCAGCCACACUGGGACUGAGACACGGCCCAGACUCCUACGGGAGGCAGCAGUGGGGAAUAUUGGACUAUGGGCGAAAGCCUGAACCAGCUAUGCCGCGUGAGCGAUGAAGGCCUUAGAGUUGUAAAGCUCUUUUACCCGGGAUGAUAAUGACAGUACCGGGAGAAUAAGCACCGGCUAACUCCGUG